rnacentral:rRNA from 1 species
GUGUCAGCAGCCGCGGUAAUACGUAGGGUGCGAGCGUUAAUCGGAAUUACUGGGCGUAAAGCGUGCGUAGGCGGUUCGUCAAGUCUGAUGUGAAAGCCCCGGGCUCAACCUGGGAACUGCAUUGGAAACUAGCGAGCUUGAGUGUGGCAGAGGGGGGUGGAAUUCCACGUGUAGCAGUGAAAUGCGUAGAGAUGUGGAGGAACACCGAUGGCGAAGGCAGCCCCCUGGGCUAACACUGACGCUCAGGCACGAAAGCGUGGGGAGCAAACAGGAUUAGAAACCCCCGUAGUCC